UACGUAGGGUGCAAGCGUUGUCCGGAAUUAUUGGGCGUAAAGAGCUCGUAGGCGGUUUGUCGCGUCUGCUGUGAAAACUCGGGGCUCAACCCCGAGCCUGCAUUCGAAACGGGCAGACUAGAGUUCGGUAGGGGAGACUGGAAUUCCUGGUGUAGCGGUGAAAUGCGCAGAUAUCAGGAGGAACACCGGUGGCGAAGGCGGGUCUCUGGGCCGAUACUGACGCUGAGGAGCGAAAGCGUGGGGAGCGAACAGG
rnacentral:rRNA from 1 species